rnacentral:antisense_RNA from 1 species
CGCGAACAGAGAGAAAUGCCGAGGUUGAGGGGCGCGGCUGCCCGGGUUCGGCGAUGGGUUAUAGGGUCCGCGUCCGCCCCGCGUCCGUACAGCCAACGUCACGCCGCAUUCUUAUUUCCAAAGACCUCUGGAGCUUGGGGUCCCACCCCAGCGAUCUUUCGGGGCGUCCUGUGCCCGUCACGCGCCGCGCCGGCUCGGCCCGAAGCGCCCUGCGGACCCGCAGCCUGGGCCGCCCAGAACCUGACGGCCCCGCGGGGGUCAGACGCGGGAGGAACGGCCUCGCUUUCAGAGACGCAGUGAGAGGGCGGUCCCCGCCGUCCCUCUGGCCGGGUGCUCAGCACGCGUUCUUCUCACUCCCAGGACGAGCCGAGCGGCGGGCGCGGACCGGGGCUUGGGGUCGGAGGCGGCGCAGCCAGAAAGGCGCUAGCGGCGCUGAGACGUUUGGGGGAACGCGGGGGCUUCGCGUCUCGGUGGCGGGAAGCGGAAUGAGGUUGGACCGGCCGGGCCGGCGUUCAGGGGCCCGGCGGGAGGCGGAGGGCUGGCGUCCUCGCGGACAUCCAUCUGCAGCGAACCAGGCAGAGGCUUCGGGAUUAGAUCCCUGACUCCUUGCGUCAGUAGCUAAGCUUUGUGAUAGUCUGAGGUCCAAGAAGGGAUUAAAACCAGGAACUGGCUCCUUUUCCAACCACUAAAGCCUCAUCUGGGCCCACAAGCCCUGGCUGUUCCCUGGAGCGUGACUGGAAGAUGUGAGCAGCUUUGUGCUGGAGCCCCAUUUCCAUGGUGCAUGCUGCUGCCAAACCAGAGAUCACUUGUAGACUUGAAAGGGAACAUGAGCUUUGGGUGAAGGAUUCCCAGGCCCCAACAGAGGCCAAAAAGCUACCACUCAGCCAGGCAGAAGGAAAAUAAAGUAUGCAUUUUAUGAUACAACUCAGCUUGGAGGGAUUAAGUAGAAGGUCCUCACUGCACCUCAUGGCAGGCUGCUGACGGCAGAUAUUUAACCAGAGGCCCACUCAACCGGGCAGUCAGGGAAGGGUUGGCUCCUGCUCUGUCCAGCUGUCUUCAUAAGGGACCCUGUGACACUUUUUAUAAAAAUGACUUUGAUUUCUGCAUAAGAAGGCUUCCCAAGCUUGCUGUCUAGCAGUGGCUGCUGCAGGGAAUUAUUCACAUGGCAGCAAGAGAGCCCUGGCUCCUUGGACCAGGACAUUCCCUUUGUGUGUGUUGGAAUGAGAGCAGGAAGAGUGCUGGUCAGAAGCCCCUCCCCAGGGCUCUGGGACUUCAGUGUUCUCAGACCAACUGGGCCGCUCCUCUGAGCUGGGAUGCUGACCCACACUUGGCCCCAGCUCUGGCAUCCACUGGACACUGCCUUAUCCGUCGUCUCGCUGGGGCUGGGGGCUGGAGGCUGAGCAGGUCACACUGAACAAAAGCAAUGUGUCCCCAUCACUAGGCUAACAUCUGAGUUCUCUUCCACAGAAUUUGGUAACAAAGUCAGAAAUGAGACUGAAGAUGAUUCUGGAGGCAACUGGGAACCCCCCCAGAACGAUUCUGCAGGCUUCUGGGAAGCUGAAAAACCCCAAGGCCAGACUGGCCUCUGAGAAUGCCUGAGUCCUUUCGAUUCCACUGGAAAAGCCAUCCAUCUGUGCCAAGUGUGUGGAGAGCUUCAAGAGCCAUACGGCCCUGGCCACCCGUGAGCACAGCCACGUGGGGGAGUGGUCCUGAAAGUGUCCUGGUGUGGCAAAGGCUUUCCACUAAGUGGACCUCAGAUGGCACAGGAAGACUCUCCUGGGGAUGUGGGAGGACACUGCCUAGUGGGAGAGGGGCUGCUCUUUCAGGUGUGUACACUAAACGCAGAGGCAGCCUCUCCCGGCUGCCAAGAAGCCUGUGCAUGACCCAGGACCACGAAACACUUGCCAACUGUCACUACCCAGAGGCCCUGUGCCUGUCUGGAGUGUGCCCAGUGUGUCUGCGCCCCACAGCUUGUCCUGGCCCGCCAGCAGAGCCGCAGCACUGCAGGGCCCUUCUGUUGUUGUGAGUGCCAGGGCCCUUGCUGGCUGCCUGAGCAAGGCAAAAGGUUCAAAACAGGAAGUCUCUGGGCAGCUAUUCCCAGGUGCAGAGGGGAGCAGCGGCCACGUGGGUGCCAGUGUGGCAGGAGCUGCAGUCAGAGGCAGCAUCUCAAGAGCCCUGGGAGCAGGGGCUGGCCACGUGAAGCCCAUGAGUGUCGCUGGCACGGGAAAGGGACACGAGGAUCACACUGACCCAAGAGAAGGCCCACAGUGAGGAGGCCCCACCGAAGCAUCCCCAGCAACGGGCUGAGGCAUCCGAGGCAGCCAGCCCACUCAGAAAGGCCUGCUGACUGCACUCCGGAUGUCAAGAGCACCCUUGGGAAAAAGAAAGGCCGGAGUGCAGCACCUUCUAGAGCCUCACCUCGCUUCUCUCCUUCUAGCUCCAGCCAGAGUGAUGGAAGAGGCUGCGCUGGGAGCUGCCUCCCUGGGAGCCUACCCUGCCCAGCCUGAGAGUGGAGGCUACCGGCAUCGCGCUUCCGCUAGUGAAAUCCAUCUGUCCUGAAGGGAACCCUGGGAAGGGGUCAAGGAGACCCUGUUCACCCCCACCACGGGGUCAGGUCUUCACCGCAGGGAGGCCGCACGGAUUCCCAGUCGCAAACCCAAAGCCUUGCUGCCUGUGCCUCUGCUUCCAUAGUUGUUUCAAUGUCUUUUUUAAAAAUCACGUACACUCGAGUAAGACCGAGUCUCCUCACCAAAGAGAUCUGGCUGUAUCCCGAGUCUCUGAAACCUUUGCUCCAGUCCCGUGGGAGCGUGCCGUCCCAAGGAUGUGGAGCUGCGAGGGCUUGCCAGAGGGAUCUCAGGGGCUAGGCCUCAAGGAGCGUUGUUGAGUGACAGGUCUGAUGCAGCAGCUUUCACUACUGGUGGAAAUCGAUGUUUUUUCCUUGAAAGUCUACCUUUCUAAUUUCAGUAACCAAAUUAGAUCAUGU